GUUAUCCCCUACUUUCUGGGGGCUCUUAAUACUUGAGAAAUGAAUCAAUUGCAGUUUGCUGGUUUUUCUAGUUUGAAACGCAUAUCAAAUGUGUUUCAACUCUCAAAACAUUAUAGCACAUGGUACUUGGAGUGGGGAUCUCCAUCAGUAAAAAAAGAUGUAGUGUCACUUAAAAUUUUUCAUGGCCAGAAUAAAUGCCAACAUUUUGGGGCUAACCCAAUUUGCUGUUAUUAGUACUAAUGAGGAACUUUUUAAAUAUUAGUAUUUUAGAUUUGAGAGAUAUUUUUGUUUAGAUACUGUACAAUUAUUCAUAAAUGAAAGUUCUCUGUUUUGCUAUGAAAAGGGGAGAUAUUUUCAAUGGUUUCAAAUGAGAGAUCACUGUGUUGGUCUUCUCCUCAUGAAAUCAAAGUUCCUGAUAUUAGAAUCCUACUCUUGGAGCAUAGAAAGGAUAAAGUGCCCGUUAAGUACAAUAAUUUGAGCAGUUAACAUGCAGCAAAUCAAAGACUGCAAAUACUGCCAUGGUGCAAUAAAUGCUAGUUACAAAAAACACUCUCCAAAUCCAGUUAUAAGUUAGCUUACAAGGAAAACACCUUUAAAAUGAAAAUUUGAUAAUAUGACGUAAAUUCAAUCCAACUCAAUUUAAGUAAGUCUUAAUCCCAAUCUAAUUGUUGUUGGCUAUAUGUAUCUUUUUUCUUCAUUCCACUUGGUUUAGGGCAAAAAUAUUUGGCAGGACUGGCAAUGUUGGACACCAUGUUAGAUCAUCCAACAAAAAAUCUUAAGCUGGAUGAUAGAAUACACAAGACCAAACCAAGUUUUACAACAAAGCAAUAUGUAAUUAUCAAAGUUCUUCUUCACAUCACAUGCUGUCCUGACAAACUUAAAAAUAAACUUGAUAGCAGUGACAACUAUUGAUCCUCACCCAAUUCCACUUGGAGCAUCUAACCUAAAAGUUUAAGAUAGUAGGUAGAGAGGUAUGUAUAUGAUAUGUAAGAAUAUAUUAACAAACAUGAUAUCCAUCUAUGAAGUGAAAUUUAUCAAGUCAGGAAAUUUUCU
rnacentral:misc_RNA from 1 species